rnacentral:rRNA from 1 species
UACGGGGGGGGCAAGCGUUGUUCGGAAUUACUGGGCGUAAAGGGCUCGUAGGCGGCCCACUAAGUCGGAUGUGAAAUCCCCAGGCUUAACCUGGGAACUGCAUCCGAUACUGGAUGGCUUGAAUUCGGGAGAGGGAUGCAGAAUUCCAGGUGUAGCGGUGAAAUGCGUAGAUAUCUGGAGGAAUACCGGUGGCGAAGGCGGCAUCCUGGACCGACAUUGACGCUGAGGAGCGAAAGCUAGGGGAGCAAACGGG